GCCGUUCUUUCCUUAGACUUACUCGGAGAAGGACACAACUACAAAAAAGAUAUGAAGAACGCAAGGUUGCCAACAGUGAUCGUCUUCUGCGCAUGUUUAGCGAUAGGGUUAGGUGCUCCUAAUUCGUUCGAGAAUUUCGUUCGAAGGAAUGUACCUAGUGGAUUUACGAUGUCGGCGUUCGUCGAGACGUGUGAAGGUUGUGGCGUGCUGUACGGAAAUGACGUCACUUACAAGUGCCUGGCGGAUAGCUCGAUGAAAACUUUCAAGGGAUGCUUUAUCGCUGUAAAUGAGAAGAGAUAACAUAGAAAGAAGUGAAAUUCAAAUAAAAUGAGUUUUCUAAUUACAUUUGUACCACAUGUAUUCAAUUUUGUUUUGAUUCUUUAUAUGCUUCAUUACUGGAAGUUUGGCCUGACGAGCAAUGCGGUCCCUGAUAUAACCUCUUGGUAUAAAAAAUAAGAAAAGGCUUCAAACAAUAUCUAUGUGUGAAUGGCAAACUAGGAAACUUCUCACCCGAGUAAAGCAAGAAACACUUUAAAUUAAUAACACACUUUAUUGUAUGUACAGGGAAAAGAAAAGUUUUCAGAAUUAUCAAAUAUAUCGACUUAAGCCACAUGUAUAAUUAUCUGUUCAUUGUAUCAUUAAAAGUGUAAACAAUGGCAAAUGAGACCAAGAUGACAGCUUUGGGACCAGAUCGCUUAACUAAAACAUGAGACUUAAAACAAAUCAACCGUUUUUACAAUACGUCAAUAGAAUGUAUGUUAUUCCAGUAUGUUAUUCUUUGCUUACAUCAAGGUUUUGACAAUAAUCUCCAUUUUAAGUACAAGAGGAACUGAUUUCUACGAUUAAAAAAAGUUACCCGAUAUGUUUCAAUAAACUGAAUUCAGUAAUUGAAUUCAUGUAUUACAUAAAAUAAAUAACAACA